rnacentral:rRNA from 1 species
GAUGAACGCUGGCGGCGUGCCUAAUACAUGCAAGUCGAGCGAAUGGAUUAAGAGCUUGCUCUUAUGAAGUUAGCGGCGGACGGGUGAGUAACACGUGGGUAACCUGCCCAUAAUACUGGGAUAACUCCGGGAAACCGGGGCUAAUACCGGAUAACAUUUUGAACCGCAUGGUUCGAAAUUGAAAGUCGGCUUCGGCUGUCACUUAUGGAUGGACCCGCGUCGCAUUAGCUAGUUGGUGGGGUAACGGCUGACCAAGGCAACGAUGCGUAGCCGACCUGAGAGGGUGAUCGGCCACACUGGGACUGAGACACGGCCCAGACUCCUACGGGAGGCAGCAGGAGGGAAUCUUCCGCAAUGGACGAAAGUCUGACGGAGCAACGCCGCGUGAGUGAUGAAGGCUUUCGGGUCGUAAAACUCUGUUGUUAGGGAAGAACAAGUGCUAGUUGAAUAAGCUGGCACCUUGACGGUACCUAACCAGAAAGCCACGGCUAACUACGUGCCAGCCGCCGCGGUAA